UUCCAGCCUUCAUCUUUCUGCCAUACUGGAUGCUUCCUGCCCUUGAACAUCAUACUCCAAGUUCUUCAGCUUUUGGGCCCUUAGACUUACACCAGUGAUUUGCCAGGGGCCUUCAGUUACAGACUGAAAGCUGUACUAUCGGCUUGCCUACUUUUGUGGUUUAGGGACUCAGACUGGCUUGCUGUCUCCUCAGCUUACAGACGGCCUAUUGUGGGACUUCAUGUUGUGAUCAUGACUGCCAGUACUGUAUUGAAUAGAAGUGGUGAGAAUGGAUAACUUUGUCUUCUUCCUGAUCUAAGAUAAGAGGUUUUCAGCUUUUCACCAUCGACUGUGAUGUGAGCUGCGGGCUUGUCAUAUGCAGCUUUUGUUGUGUUAAGGGGCAUGAGGAAUUCAAAGUGGACUAAAGGCAGUUUUAAUUGGGAAUUCAGUGGAACCAUUGUUGCUGUCUUCUUGUGGAGCAUUCUUCUCUUUGGAACUAACACCUCUAGACCAGCAGAGAAUAAAGCAACAGGGGCACGAAACAUAAAAUUUUGCUGGUAAAUCACUGAGGAUAAUAAAUCACUGCCACUUCCAUUUCCAUCCAUUGAUUUCUACACUCAUGAUUCCUGGCUAUGGGAGCAACAACACCAUAUACUGGAUGCUGCUUUAGAGCAAAGGGCCUCCUGGAGAACAUUGCCUCAGACUUGCAAGGUAUUGGCACCUGGGUGUCACUAUACUGAGUCUUCAAAAGGCUCUUCCACCAUUCUAUCAAGCCAUCUGCUUCAGGAUAAUGGGGAACAUGGUAUGACCAGUGAAUUCCAUGAGCAUGGGCACACUGCUGCACCUUGUUUCCUGUGAAGUGAGUUCUUUGAUCAGAAGCGAUGCUAUUGGAAAACCAUGAUGUUGAACAAGGUGGUGUCUCACCAUGUUGCCCAGACUGGUUACAAACUCCUAGGCUCAAGCGAUUCGCCUGCCGUGGCCUCCCAAAGUGCUUGGAUCACAGGAAUGAACCACUGUGCCUGGCCAGGUGAUUUUAAUUCUAAUCUAAUGCACAAUCUGUCUCUUCUGACGUAUCAUGAACUUUGUAUUUAAAUAAAUACUUACUAAGGAGUUGGUUCUGUAAAUGCCUUUUAACAAAAGACCAUCGGAAACAUACCUGUAGUUGUUCUAUUUACUGCUAAUGGGAAAGUGCUAAUCAUGGGGCAUCUCGGUUACAGAUGUUAAAAAAGGCUUAUACAAUGAUUUACACUUGCCGUAGAUGGU
rnacentral:lncRNA from 1 species